UACGGAGGGGGCGAGCGUUUAUUCGGAAUUAUUGGGCGUAAAGGGCGCGUAGGCGGCCGUCUAAGUCAAAAGGUGAAAUCCCUCGGCUCAACUGAGGAACUGCCUUUGAAACUGGAUGCUUGAGGCCGGGAGGGGGUAGCGGAAUUCCCCAGUGUAGCGGUGAAAUGCGUAGAUAUUGGGAGGAACACCAGUGGCGAAGGCGGGGUCUCUGGGGCCGAUA
rnacentral:rRNA from 1 species